rnacentral:rRNA from 1 species
UAGGGGAUCUUCCACAAUGGACGGAAAGUCGUGAAGUGGAGCAACGCCGCGUGAGUGAAGAAGGUUUUCGGAUCGUAAAGCUCUGUUGUUGGUGAAGAAGGAUAGAGGCAGUAACUGGUCUUUAUUUGACGGUAAUCAACCAGAAAGUCACGGCUAACUACGUGCCAC